AUUGAACGCUGGCGGCAGGCCUAACACAUGCAAGUCGAACGGUAACAGGAAGAAGCUUGCUUCUUUGCUGACGAGUGGCGGACGGGUGAGUAAUGUCUGGGAAACUGCCUGAUGGAGGGGGAUAACUACUGGAAACGGUAGCUAAUACCGCAUAACGUCGCAAGACCAAAGAGGGGGACCUUCGGGCCUCUUGCCAUCGGAUGUGCCCAGAUGGGAUUAGCUAGUAGGUGGGGUAACGGCUCACCUAGGCGACGAUCCCUAGCUGGUCUGAGAGGAUGACCAGCCACACUGGAACUGAGACACGGCCCAGACUCCUACGGGAGGCAGCAGUGGGGAAUAUUGCACAAUGGGCGCAAGCCUGAUGCAGCCAUGCCGCGUGUAUGAAGAAGGCCUUCGGGUUGUAAAGUACUUUCAGCGGGGAGGAAGGGAGUAAAGUUAAUACCUUUGCUCAUUGACGUUACCCGCAGAAGAAGCACCGGCUAACUCCGU
rnacentral:rRNA from 1 species